GAUGAAGAACGUAGCGAAAUGCGAUAAGUAGUGUGAAUUGCAGAAUUCAGUGAAUCAUCGAAUCUUUGAACGCACAUUGCGCCCUUUGGUAUUCCAAAGGGCAUGCCUGUUCGAGCGUCAUUUGUACCCUCAAGCUUUGCUUGGUGUUGGGCGUCUUGUCUCUAGCUUUGCUGGAGACUCGCCUUAAAGUAAUUGGCAGCCGGCCUACUGGUUUCGGAGCGCAGCACAAGUCGCACUCUCUAUCAGCAAAGGUCUAGCAUCCAUUAAGCCUUUUUUUCAACUUUUGACCUCGGAUCAGGUAGGGAUACCCGCUGAACUUAAGCAUAUCAAUAAGCGAGGA
rnacentral:misc_RNA from 1 species